GAUGAACGCUGGCGGCGUGCCUAAUACAUGCAAGUCGAGCGAACAGACGAGGAGCUUGCUCCUCUGACGUUAGCGGCGGACGGGUGAGUAACACGUGGAUAACCUACCUAUAAGACUGGGAUAACUUCGGGAAACCGGAGCUAAUACCGGAUAAUAUAUUGAACCGCAUGGUUCAGUAGUGAAAGACGGUUUUGCUGUCACUUAUAGAUGGAUCCGCGCCGCAUUAGCUAGUUGGUAAGGUAACGGCUUACCAAGGCAACGAUGCGUAGCCGACCUGAGAGGGUGAUCGGCCACACUGGAACUGAGACACGGUCCAGACUCCUACGGGAGGCAGCAGUAGGGAAUCUUCCGCAAUGGGCGAAAGCUUGACGGAGCAACGCCGCGUGAGUGAUGAAGGUCUUCGGAUCGUAAAACUCUGUUAUUAGGGAAGAACAAAUGUGUAAGUAACUAUGCACGUCUUGACGGUACCUAAUCAGAAAGCCACGGCUAACUACGU
rnacentral:rRNA from 1 species